rnacentral:rRNA from 1 species
GACGAACGCUGGCGGCGUGCUUAACACAUGCAAGUCGAACGAAGUGGCGCACGGGUGAGUAACGCGUAAUCAACCUGCCCUUCAGAGGGGGACAACAGUUGGAACGACUGCUACUACCGCAUACUGCAGGCGGGGAUUGCGUCUGAUUAGCUAGGUGGAGGGGUAACGGCCCACCAAGGCGAUGAUCAGUAGCAGGUAUGAGAGGAUGAACGGCAAAAUGGGGACUGAGACACGGCCCAGACGCCUACGGGAGGCAGCAGUGGGGAAUCUUCCGCAAUGGACGAAAGUCUGACGGAGCAACGCCGCGUGAGUGAUGACGGCCUUCGGGUUGUAAAGCUCUGUUAAUCGGGACGCGGUACCGGAAUAGAAAGCCACGGCUAACUACGUGCCAGCAGCCGCGGUAAUAC